rnacentral:misc_RNA from 1 species
GAUGAAGAACGCAGCGAAAUGCGAUAAGUAAUGCGAAUUGCAGAAUUCAGUGAAUCAUCGAAUCUUUGAACGCACAUUGCGCCCCCUGGUAUUCCGGGGGGCAUGCCUGUCCGAGCGUCAUUACAACCCUCAAGCUCAGCUUGGUGUUGGGCCCCGCCGCCCCGGCGGGCCCUAAAGUCAGUGGCGGUGCCGUCCGGCUCCGAGCGUAGUAAUUCUUCUCGCUCUGGAGGUCCGGUCGUGUGCUCGCCAGCAACCCCCAAUUUUUUUCAGGUUGACCUCGGAUCAGGUAGGGAUACCCGCUGAACUUAAGCAUAUCAAUAAGCGGAGGA